UAUUUAUACACGUAUCUAGUUAAUGAAAAUUACAUUAUUUAAUACUAUGGGCAUUUUGGUAAAUUGAUUCUCAUUCUCAUUUCUCAUUUUCAUUUAUUUUGCUAAGUAAACACAUCAAUUGCAUUCCAGCACAUUCUCAUUCCCAUUUAUUUUUGCCAAGUAAACAUUGGAAUUUCAUUCCCAUUCCAACCCAUUCUCAGCCCAUUCCCAUUCCACCCCAUUCUCAUUCCAUGAAGUAAACACACCAUCAACUCUUGAAUUGAUUUUCUAUUCCAAAUAAAAUAUCAUCAACAAUUGCACCAUUCUCAUCAUAAAAGCAGUUAAUAAUUGCAAAAAUAAUUGAAAAAUCCAAAGCCUGAAGCGAAGGCAAAGACGGAGAUAGGCACAGAGACAAAUCAUCAACUUCAGUGACAUCUUCACUGAUUCAUGAUAGCUGUUACAGUGCUACGAACUCUUAUUAUCGCUAUGAGGAUCUAAAAGCAAUCAUUUCCUAUUGCAAUAACUCACAGGGGCUGGGGAAUAAAAAAUGAAUUACAAUAGCAUUGUAAAAGACGAUGAAUCCUUUUGCUCAAAAAUAAAAAAAAAAUGCUCAAUUACAGUAGCUGCGAAUGUCUGAUUGUGAUGGACAAACAUAUAAUGCUUAUACUUUUAUUUGAUUGCUAUCAUUAAUCUGAUUGAAUAAACACAAGUGUUUCUAAAAAAAAAAAAAAUCAUUUUGAAUUUGAAUUUUGUUUUCGCUUUAUUUGCUAGGGACUAGCAAUAAGUUGGUUGGGGGGUGUGUUGAGUGUUAGAAAAUGCAUAUUUAUAAAGGAGAAAACCGUCAUUUUACAUUUCAAGUCUUACUAACAACCCUUACUUUUAUGUAUUUAACCUUCUUGUGAUUUAAUUAUAUGUGUUUUAUUUUAAUUAAGUAUUUUAUGCAUUUUAGGGGUAUUAUAGUCAUUUCACAAUAAAGGAGAAAUCAGACGGCAAAACGGACAUCACUUUUGAACUCAGGACGGUAAAAAACCUUAGGAGGAGCAUAAAAUGAAAAAUGGCACUAUUCACAUGUACGGUACUAUUCACGUGUACGGUACUGUAUACGUUACUGUUCACGACACUGUUCAUAUAGACGGAUGAUGACGUGGCAUUGACCGAUGAUGUGGCAUUGACUGAUGAGGUGUCACGAUCUUGUUGGACUAAAAUUCUUAUGUACUGUUGAUGGUGACGUGGCAGCAUAUCAGUGGACGAAAAAUCUCGCGUACGGUGCAUGCAUCACACAGGAUUAUUUUCAACCAAACCGCGUUACUGUUCAAAGUCGGGUCAAACCGUGUUACUGUUCAUCCGCGUGGUCAAACCGUGGACUGUUGACUGAUGACGUGGCGCAAUCCUGAGCGUCCAAACUGUUU
rnacentral:lncRNA from 1 species